CCUACGGGUGGCUGCAGUGGGGAAUAUUGCACAAUGGGCGCAAGCCUGAUGCAGCCAUGCCGCGUGUGUGAAGAAGGCCUUCGGGUUGUAAAGCACUUUCAGCGGGGAGGAAGGCGGUGAGGUUAAUAACCUUAUCGAUUGACGUUACCCGCAGAAGAAGCACCGGCUAACUCCGUGCCAGCAGCCGCGGUAAUACGGAGGGUGCAAGCGUUAAUCGGAAUUACUGGGCGUAAAGCGCACGCAGGCGGUCUGUCAAGUCGGAUGUGAAAUCCCCGGGCUCAACCUGGGAACUGCAUUCGAAACUGGCAGGCUAGAGUCUUGUAGAGGGGGGUAGAAUUCCAGGUGUAGCGGUGAAAUGCGUAGAGAUCUGGAGGAAUACCGGUGGCGAAGGCGGCCCCCUGGACAAAGACUGACGCUCAGGUGCGAAAGCGUGGGGAGCAAACAGGAUUAGAUACCCCUGUAGUC
rnacentral:rRNA from 1 species